rnacentral:rRNA from 1 species
ACGAACGCUGGCGGCGUGCUUAACACAUGCAAGUCGAACGGAAAGGCCCUGCUUUUGUGGGGUGCUCGAGUGGCGAACGGGUGAGUAACACGUGAGUAACCUGCCCUUGACUUUGGGAUAACUUCAGGAAACUGGGGCUAAUACCGGAUAGGAGCUCCUGCUGCAUGGUGGGGGUUGGAAAGUUUCGGCGGUUGGGGAUGGACUCGCGGCUUAUCAGCUUGUUGGUGGGGUAGUGGCUUACCAAGGCUUUGACGGGUAGCCGGCCUGAGAGGGUGACCGGCCACAUUGGGACUGAGAUACGGCCCAGACUCCUACGGGAGGCAGCAGUGGGGAAUAUUGCACAAUGGGCGGAAGCCUGAUGCAGCAACGCCGCGUGCGGGAUGACGGCCUUCGGGUUGUAAACCGCUUUCGCCUGUGACGAAGCGUGAGUGACAGUAAUGGGUAAAGAAGCACCGGCUAACUACGU